CACGGGCGCACGCUUGCACACCCACGCACUGGAACAAAGCUUGAGCAUGUUUGAAUGAGUAUCUAAGUUGUGGGUGACAAUGCACUGCUGGCAGGGAACUGCAUGUGGAGCCAUGUGGGCCUCCAUGUGACCAUACAGCCGGGUCUGCCAGCAAUGUGUAGCAUUAGCGCAGAAGCAGUACUGAAAUGCUAACGAAAGCAACGUCUUGCCUUCUUUUCAGCUGCAUGCGAGAGAACUAAAGAAGACAAAUAAUCACUCACCUUCAACAUUCCAUACUUCAGAAAAUGGCUCCACAUCCACAAUGUCACCUCCUGCGCCUGAUGAUGAUGUCACUUCCAGUUCUCCAUCGAUGACAUCACUCCCAGCUCCCGAUGAUGAUGUCACUUCCGGUCCGCCUCCAAUAACAUCACUUCCGUCCCCCAUUGAUGACAUUACUUCCCAUAUUACAUCAUUUCCUGUAGCCAUUUUCUGACUGUAUAAAAAUGAUGAUCACCCAAUCCUUUGAUGUUGAAUGUCUGAUAUUUAUUGAUCUUUUUUUUGACCAACAAUAUUGCACCACAGCAAUAUACGGUGCAAUUCCCCAACUCAUUGAAGUUGUUUGUGAGUAAUUUAUCACAAUUGCCGUAGUUGGCAGGAUACAAACUUUGUUCAAGGAUGUCAGAGGGACAAGAUCUCAACGCGGUUUUGAACACCCUGGCAGCUGAACUUCAGCAAAUGAAGAUUCAGCUCGGAGACACGAGUACCUGGUUGGCGAAA